rnacentral:SRP_RNA from 1 species
GCUGGCUAUGGUGCCACGUGCCUGUAGCUUCAGCUAAAUGGGAGGCUGAGGCUGGAAGAUUGCUUGAAACCAGGAGUUCUGGUCUGCAGUGCUCUAUGCAGAUUGGGUAUCUGCACUAAGUUCAGCAUCAAUAUGGUGAAUUCCUGGGUGCAGGGAACCACCAGUUUGCCUAAGGAAGGGUUAACUAGCCUAGGUCAGAAAUGGAGCAAGUCAAAACUCCCAUGCUGAUCAGUAGAGUGGGAUUGUGCCUGUGAAUAGUCACUGCACUCCAGCCUGGGCAACUUAGUGAGAACCUGCCUUA